AGAAGUAUGUAGAUAGGAAGGUUUAUCACUCAAAUCAGUUUAUAUUACUCGUAAUUCAUAACCCACUAAAAAAAUUUCAUUUGGCCACAAAACAAUUUCUACAGUCUGAAGGUGCAUACAUGUACAUAGCCUAUUUGAAUUGCACAUCUACAGAAAGGUAGUUUAACAAAGAGUUUGAUAUUUCUAAGUUCACUAACUAAAAAUUUUCUUAAAAUGAUGAAGUUGAACCCCUUUGUCAUCGCAGCAGUAUUUAAUGCUGUAAAAAGCCGUCCAAGUUUAAAAAGAAAAUUCAGGAAAAUGGCUUCCCCAAGUUUCAAAAAAAGAAGCAAAGAAUAAAAACAGAAAUAGGAAGAAACCGUUAUGCAGAUAAAGAACCACAAAUCAAGAUCGGCACGAUAAUAAAUCAGAUACGUAACAAUGGAAUGGAAGAAAAACACAAGAUAGCUGCCAUCUAUAGAUCGGAAAUGAAGAACACAAUAACGCACAACAUAAAAGCAAAAACGAUCUAAUCACUGAAUAAAUAAAUAAAAAUGG